UACGGAGGGGGCGAGCGUUGUCCGAAGUUACUGGGCGUAAAGCGCGCAUAGGCGGGUUGGUAAGUCCGCUGUGAAAGCCCGGAGCUUAACUCCGGAGGGUCGGUGGAUACUGCCAGUCUUGAAGGUGCUAGGGGGAGAUGGAAUUACCGGUGUAGCGGUGAAAUGCGUAGAUAUCGGUAGGAACACCAGUGGCGAAGGCGGUCUCCUGGGGCAUUCUUGACGCUGAGGCGCGAAAGCUGGGGGAGCAAACGGG
rnacentral:rRNA from 1 species